UUUCCGUAGGUGAACCUGCGGAAGGAUCAUUACACAAUGUGGGUCUCUCAGGCCCGCCCUCGCACCCUGUGUCUUUGUGACCUUGUUGCUUUUGCGGUUUCGCCUCGUUUUGAUUCCGCCGUAAGCUCACCGAUUUGGGCCCGUGCCCGCAAGUAUCCCCCUUAGAUUCUUGGUCCACCUGUCGUCUUAGUCUAUAUAUAUCAAAACAAACUUUCACCAACGGCUCUCUUGGUUGUGGAAUGGAUGAAGUCCGCAGCAGAUCGGAAGAGCCACCAUCUU
rnacentral:misc_RNA from 1 species